GCCUAAUUUUUUUUUUCCUUUUUGUUUUUCUAUCUGAAGUCAAGCGACGGACCCCUCUUUUGCUCCUUUGUAGUUGCGACGGACGGGUGAGUAACACGUGGGUAACCUACCUAUAACUGACUGGAAUAACUUCGGGAAAGCCUGGAGCUAAUGCCGGAUAACAUAUAGAACCGCAUGGUAGUCUACGUAGUGAAAGAUGGUUUUGCUAUCACUUAUAGAUGGUACCCGCGCCGUAUUAGCUAGUUGGUAAAGGAUUAAGGGCUCUACCUAAGGCGUACGAUACGUAGGGCCGAACCUGAGAGGAAGUGACUCGGACCCACACUGGAACUGGAGCACACGGUUCCAUUAGACUCCUACGGGAGGCAGCAGUAGGGAAUCUUGCCGCAAUGGGCGAAAGCCUAGAGACGGAGCCUUAACGCUCGCGUGAGUGAGUGACAGGUUUUCGGAUCGUAAAACUCUGCUUAUGUAGGGAAGAACAAAUGCGUUAAGUCCCGCAACUGUGCGCAACUCUUGACGGUACCUGCAAUCAUGAAAUUGGGCACACUAGGCUAACUGACGGUGCCAGCAGCCGCGGUAAGUACGUAUGGUGGCAAAGCGUUAUGCCCGGAAUUAUUGGGCGUAAAGCGCGCGUAGGCGGUUUCUUAAGUCUGAUGUGAAAGCCCACGGCUCAACCGUGGAGGGUCAUUGGAAAUCUGGGAAACUUGUUCUCAGUGCAGAAUAGGAAAGUGGAAUUCGACUAUGUGUAGCGGUGAAAUGCGCAUAGUUAUGGAAGAUCACCAUGAUACGGUGAAGGCGACUUUCUGGUCUUGUACACACUGACGCUGAUGUGCGAAAGCGUUUGUAACACCCGAAGCAACAAAUGGAGUAACCCCAUUUA
rnacentral:rRNA from 1 species